rnacentral:rRNA from 1 species
AGGAUGAACGCUGGCGGUAUGCUUUACACAUGCAAGUCGUACGCAAGUUUACUUGAGUGGCGGACGGGUGAGUAACACGUGAGAAUUCACCUUUAGGUGGGGAAUAACUUUUGGAAACGAUAGCUAAUGCCCCAUAUACUCGAAAGAGAGAAAAGAGUAAUCUGCCUAGAGAGAAGCUCGCGGCUGAUUAGCUAGUUGGUAAGGUAAUGGCUUACCAAGGCGACGAUCAGUAGCUGGUUUGAGAGAACGAUCAGCCACACUGGAACUGAGACACGGCCCAGACUCCUACGGGAGGCAGCAGUGGGGAAUAUUGGACAAUGGGCGCAAGCCUGAUCCAGCCAUGCCGCGUGGAUGAUGAAGGCCUUAGGGUUGUAAAGUCCUUUUAACGGGAGAUAAUGACGGUACCCGUAGAAUAAGCCCCGGCUAACUUCGUGCCAGCAGCCGC